UACGGGGGGGGCAAGCGUUGUUCGGAAUUACUGGGCGUAAAGGGCUCGUAGGCGGCCAACUAAGUCAGACGUGAAAUCCCUCGGCUUAACCGGGGAACUGCGUCUGAUACUGGAUGGCUGGAGUUUGGGAGAGGGAUGCGGAAUUCCAGGUGUAGCGGUGAAAUGCGUAGAUAUCUGGAGGAACACCGGUGGCGAAGGCGGCAUCCUGGACCGGCAUUGACGCUGAGGCGCGAAAGCCAGGGGAGCAAACGGG
rnacentral:rRNA from 1 species